rnacentral:rRNA from 1 species
AAUCUUCCGCAAUGGACGAAAGUCUGACGGAGCAACGCCGCGUGAGUGAUGAAGGUUUUCGGAUCGUAAAACUCUGUUGUUAGGGAAGAACAAGUACGAGAGUAACUGCUCGUACCUUGACGGUACCUAACCAGAAAGCCACGGCUAACUACGUGCCAGCAGCCGCGGUAAUACGUAGGUGGCAAGCGUUGUCCGGAAUUAUUGGGCGUAAAGCGCGCGCAGGCGGUCCUUUAAGUCUGAUGUGAAAGCCCACGGCUCAACCGUGGAGGGUCAUUGGAAACUGGGGGACUUGAGUACAGAAGAGAAGAGUGGAAUUCCACGUGUAGCGGUGAAAUGCGUAGAGAUGUGGAGGAACACCAGUGGCGAAGGCGACUCUUUGGUCUGUAACUGACGCUGAGGCGCGAAAGCGUGGGGAGCAA